UGCUGCGGAGGUGGUUGGUCGGAGUCCUAUUGUCACUCAUGCUUUGGCCAUUGUCCGCUAGUAUUUUCAGUCUGUCAGCUGGGUGAGAAUGCCGGGUUUUUAACUUUCCCUUGACCUUGCUAACUUUUAUGUGCAAAUUCUUGCUUUACGUAUAACAAGACAUUUUUUCCCCGUUGCGCAUAAACAGACAUUAGGAUCUAAAAAGUAAUUACGGGAACAAAUACAUAACCAUCUCUAUAAUGAGGGUUAGGCAGGAGAAUUCACUCCUCUCCCGGCUCCGGGAUCCCCAUUUCCUUACGGAACUGUUGUAGAUGACUCCCCAGAAGCAUCCCUCCCUGUGCGGGAAGUCUACCCCUCAUUCUUUUUUUUUUUUUAAUUUUUUUUUUCAGUACUGGGGCUUGAACUCAGGGCCUUACAUUUGAACCACUCCACCGGCCCUAUCUUUGUAAAGGGUUUUUCGAAAUAGGGUCUCGCGAACGGGGCUGGCUUCAAACCGCGAUCCUUCUGAGCUCUGCCUCCUGAGUAGUUAGGAUUACAGGGGUGAGCCACCGGCGCCCGGCCUGCCCCUCGUUCUUGAAGGGUGUCCCCGCGGCAGGGCGGGCCCUGCCCAUCUCCCCCGAGAGCGCCCUCGGGGCCGAGUCCCCAGCGCGCGCUCCCCGGAGCUUCCCCACGGCGCCCUCCGGCCGGGCCGCCCCCCUUCCGGCCCCCGGUAGCGCGCCGGCGCCUCCGGGCUACUAGUUCCGCGCGUUCUGCAUGGAGGCGCCCGGAGGGGCUCGGACGCGACCCUUGCCCAGCCGCAGCCACCCGGGCCUGCGGGAGACGUCAGGUCAGCUUCCCGUGCCCCCCCACCCCACCCCGAGCUCCGCCGGGCUCUGUGGUCAGGAAGAAGCAGCUGCUUCUCGGGCCCCAACCCCCGAUGUCCACUUUGGAGGGGCGAAGGCAGGGCGACCCUUCGCAGCCAUUUCGCCUCAGCUGCGGAAAGGAGUUCGAGUCCCUUCCCCAGGCGUCAGUCAUCCAUGUCAGAACUCGGCCCUCCGUCCGGGGCCGUUUCCUUCCCGCUACCAAGCCGGGGAGGCCCGGACGCCGCGGCGAGUGCAGCAGCGGCAGCCGCCGGCCUUUCGCCAUCUUGCGUGGAGGAGGAGCCGCGGCCGCCGCCAUGCGGAGCGGCUGGGAAGGAGGAGGGAGGGAAGCGACGGCGGCGGGGAGGGAGGGGGCAGAGGAGCAGAGUUGGUUCAGCCCGGCCGCGACUUCGGCGGCGCCGUGAGAGCGGGCAGCGGCGGAGGUAGGGCCGGGAGCCUGGGGCGCGGGCUGCGGGCGGCGCGGCCCCGGAGCGGGCGAGCGGGCGGGCGGGGGCGGGGCGGAGGCGGGCGGAGGCCGCGACAAGGGGCCGGUGGGGGCGGGCGGAGGUUUCCGAGGAGGAAGGAGCCGCCGCCAUUUUGGGAGCUUCGAGUCAACAAUAAAGGACCGAGGGUGCCGAGCGGGAGUGGCCUCGGUGGUAGGACUCGGGCCCGAGCCGCGGGGCGUGGGAUUGAACUGAGUGAAUUCAGAUAUAACUCAAGCUUGUUGUUUGAGGGCUUAAAAAAAAAAGUUGAUUCGGUGCAUGAGAGCAAGUUACUGCUGCUUACUGUUCAGAGACUUACAGGUGCUUGCCUGCAUUGCAAUAAAGGACUCAUAUAUUGAGCAAGACUUAUAUUUAUCUCUUCAUUUUGGAGAGCCUAAUAAACUGUUAUUACAGUUUCUCUACUGACUUUCA
ensembl:lncRNA